CCUACGGGAGGCAGCAGUGAGGAAUAUUGGUCAAUGGCCGUAAGGCUGAACCAGCCAAGUCGCGUGAAGGAAGAAGGAUCUAUGGUUUGUAAACUUCUUUUAUAGGGGAAUAAAGGUAUCCACGUGUGGAUAUUUGCAUGUACCCUAUGAAUAAGCAUCGGCUAACUCCGGUCCAGCAGCCGCGGUAAUACGGAGGAUGCGAGCGUUAUCCGGAUUUAUUGGGUUUAAAGGGUUCGUAGGUUGUUUUUUAAGUCAGCGGUGAAAGUUUGUGGCUCAACCAUAAAAUUGCCGUUGAAACUGGAAGACGUGAGUGUGUUUGAGGUAGGCGGAAUGCGUGGUGUAGCGGUGAAAUGCAUAGAUAUCACGCAGAACUCCGAUUGCGAAGGCAGCUUACUAAGCCAUAACUGACACUGAAGCACGAAAGCGUGGGGAUCAAACAGGAUUAGAUACCCCAGUAGUC
rnacentral:rRNA from 1 species